AUAAUUUUACCCUAACAAAAAAUGAGUGAAACAAGCUUCUGGUUCAAGAGUUUCUUCAGGUUCCACUACGGGCUGUUCUUCUACAGGUGCGCCGAUGUCCACAGUGCUACCUUCUGAUGAGCUACUGCUUUCAUUCAGUUUCUGCUGACUUAAUAUGUGAGCUGACAGAAUGCAGAGACCACGUUGUAUAUGAAGCAUCCACUUUGCCUUGUACACCAGGGCAUUCAAUAACCACUUAAUAACUACAACCCUGAUGAUCCGAUUCACUACUAAAGUCUUCCGUGUUUAAAUUUUCAAAGUCAGAUUCUCCUACAGCAAUUG
rnacentral:lncRNA from 10 species